rnacentral:rRNA from 1 species
AGCGUAUAUUAAAGUUGUUGCAGUUAAAAAGCUCGUAGUUGAAUUUCGGGAUUGGCGCAUCGGUCGUGCCUCACGGGGUAUGAACUGGUGCAGUCAAUUUCUCACCUUCUGGAGAACCGCGAUGUCCUUAAUUGGAUGCCGCGGGGAACCAGGACCUUUACUUUGAAAAAAUUAGAGUGUUUAAAGCAGGCAUUUUUGCUUGAAUACAUUAGCAUGGAAUAAUAAAAUAGGACGGCAUGGUUCUAUUUUGUUGGUUUCUAGGACCACCGUAAUGAUUAAUAGGGAUAGUUGGGGGCAUUAGUAUUCAAUUGUCAGAGGUGAAAUUCUUGGAUUUAUUGAAGACUAACUACUGCGAAAGCAUUUGCCAAGGAUGUUUUCAUUAAUCAAGAACGAAAGUUAGGGGAUCGAAGACGAUCAGAUACCGUCGUAGUCUUAACCAUAAAC